UCAGGCUCAGUCAGACCAGGGGAGGAAGAGAAUUUGGGAGAUAAGAGGUCUCCGCUGAACAUGCCUACCCUGAGACAUUCUACUUCAAGGUUAAAACAGGCCCCUUGAAGGAUUUCACUCAAUCAGCUGUCUGGCGGCACAGAUUCCUGAGCUUUACCGUUACCAGAAUGUACCCAACUCCCAUGCACUUAAACAUCACGAAGGCCAAGUUUUGGAACAUCAUGAGAGGGCCAAACGAGAAUCAAGAAAAAAUUCCCUUCCAGGAAGCUUUGAAGUGAUGCUGGCUUACUUUUUUCAGCACAAAUAUGUCCUUUAGAAUAGUUUUUCAAUUAAGCCUUUUCUGACAGGGCAUGAUCCAAAGCCCACAGAAAUUAGUAGAAAGACUCUAAUUGACAUCAAUGAGGUUUGGAUCAGACCUUUUCAGAAUACUUGGAAAGUGACACCAGGACCUAGUCAAUGUGAAG